rnacentral:rRNA from 1 species
GACGAACGCUGGCGGCGUGCUUAACACAUGCAAGUCGAACGGAAAGGCCCUGCUUUUGUGGGGUGCUCGAGUGGCGAACGGGUGAGUAACACGUGAGUAACAUGCCCUUGACUUUGGGAUAACUUCAGGAAACUGGGGCUAAUACCGGAUAGGAGCUCCUGCUGCAUGGUGGGGGAUGGAAAGAUUCGGCGGUUGGGGAUGGACUCGCGGCUUAUUAGCUAGGUGGUGAGGUAGCGGCUUACCAAGGCUAUGACGGGUAGCCGGCCUGAGAGGGUGAUCGGCCACACUGGCACUGAGACACGGUCCAGACUCCUACGGGAGGCAGCAGUAGGGAAUCUUCCGCAAGGGGCGAAAGCCUGACGGAGCAGCGCCGCGUGAGUGAUGAAGGUCUUCGGAUCGUAAAACUCUGUUAUUAGGGAAGAACAAAUGUGUAAGUAACUAUGCACGUCUUGACGGUACCUAAUCAGAAAGCCACGGCUAACUACGUG